rnacentral:rRNA from 1 species
CCGAUUGNGAAGGCAGCUUGCUGGACUGUAACUGACGCUGAGGCACGAAAGCGUGGGGAUCAAACAGGAUUAGAUACCCUGGUAGUCCACGCCGUAAACGAUGAAUGCUAGCUGUUAGCGAUAUACUGUUAGCGGCACAGAGAAAUCGUUAAGCAUUCCACCUGGGGAGUACGCCGGCAACGGUGAAACUCAAAGGAAUUGACGGGGNCCCGCACAAGCGGAGGAACAUGUGGUUUAAUUCGAUGAUACGCGAGGAACCUUACCUGGGCUUAAAUUGCAGUGGAAUAACGUGGAAACAUGUUAGCCUUCGGGCCGCUGUGAAGGUGCUGCAUGGUUGUCGUCAGCUCGUGCCGUGAGGUGUCGGCUUAAGUGCCAUAACGAGCGCAACCCUCAUCGAUAGUUACUAACAGGUUAAGCUGAGGACUCUAUCGAGACUGCCGACGUAAGUCGUGAGGAAGGUGGGGAUGACGUCAAAUCAGCACGGCCCUUACGUCCAGGGCUACACACGUGUUACAAUGGGGGGUACAAGGGCAGCUACCUGGCGACAGGAUGCUAAUCUCAAAAACCUCUCUCAGUUCGGAUUGGAGUCUGCAACCCGACUCCAUGAAGCUGGAUUCGCUAGUAAUCGCGCAUCAGCCACGGCGCGGUGAAUACGUUCCCGGGCCUUGUACACACCGCCCGUCAAGCCAUGGGAGCCGGGGGGACCUGAAGUAUGCAACCGUAAGGAGCGUCCUAGGGUAAAACUGGUGACUGGGGCU